CAAAGUGCGGACAUAGAAAGGACAAAAAGAACACUUAGGAUAGUUUGGCCCCAAGAUGGAACUAUAAUGAAUCACUGGCACACUUCCGGAUGUCUACUUUAAAGGAAAGACGUGAAAAACAUUGUGUGGAACUUAUCAGGAAAAUGUCGUCGGAGGGACAUAGACUCAUAGAUAUCUUAUAUACACUAGAUAGCGCAUCUCUUUUAGUAAAAUUGAAGCCAAGAAUUUUCCAGCGGUUACCCCCAUUUGAAUAGAUGGCGGCCAUGUUGGUCGUUCCCACUUGCUAAUAAACGCUUAAAAACAACAAUAACUUUCAUCAUUUAAAUAGUUUUAAAAUGUAUUUGGAAUAGGGUUAACUUAAUGUUUAAGUUCCCUGUUUUAGAAAUAGAAAAAAUACCAAUCUUCUCAUUUCAUGGGAACGACCUGAGACUGCAAUCACGGCUUCAAUAUUUGAAUUGCAGAAUAAUUAGAUGCACUAUCUAGUGUAUAUAAGAUAUCUAUGCAUAGACUCC